AAAAACGCAGACAGGCAGCGGGUCCGAUCCGACUAGUUUGACUGGAGCUAAAACCCAAAACCCUAAUAACCUUGUCUCCGGGAUCUUACCCAAAACUCUCUUCUCUUUGCUUGGCUCUACUAAUUUCUACAAUUCUGCAUUCUACAAUGGCUUCAAGGUGUAGCAGAAUUAUUAAUAGAGCUUCAAUUUCUUCUAUCAGAUCCGCCAUUAAAUCCAAUUCUCAAUCAGCUUCUUCUUCACAGUCGUUUCCCAGUUUCUCUGCCUCAACCAGAUCUACAUCGUCGCCUCUCCGUCGUUUCUCUUUUUCAAGAAUUCCGUCGGAACUGGGAGGGUUGCAGUCAAUGUUGCCGCUACACAACGCAGUUGCUACGGCGAGGAUGACGUCAUGCCUAAGCUCAACAUCGAGGAGUUCCAGAGCUCUUUCACAGGGUACUCUCUGCUGCACCUCUCCAGACCUCUAGCAUGUUCCAUUUAUUACUCCCCCAAAAUAAAAUAAAUACAAGCACAUGAGUUUCCAAAAGCACGAAAGAAAUAUACCGGGAUAGCACAGGCCUUUCUAUUUUGCUUAAAGCUAGGUCUCUCGGUACCAAGGUGACGUUGUUAGCAGAUUGUCAAAGAAAGUUGUCAACUCUUUGAAUGGGAAGGCAAGAUUUUGUCCUAGGAAAGACAUUUAUGUUUAAUGACUACUCAAACUUUACACAAGUGGUAAUAGUAUUUGAAUGUAUUAAAUUUUCAGCUGGUUUUGCUGUUAAUUCUGAUUUCCGAUUCCUUUGAUUACUUGGAAUAUUACUAUGGAAUAAUCCUUAUUUCCUUCUUUCUUUUUUGGGCCAAUUUGUUACACUGAGAAUGGAAGAGGUUGGAGUUUUAUACUUC